CUACGGGCGGCUGCAGCUGAGGAAAUUCUACAAUGCUCGAAAGAGUGAUAGAGUAAAUCAGAGUGUUUCUCUUUGAGAAACUUUUGUCUGUUGUAAAAAGACAGAUGAAUAAGGACUGGGCAAGACCGGUGCCAGCCGCCGCGGUAAUACCGGCGGUCCGAGUCGCAUCCACAUUUAUUAGGUCUAAAACAUCCGUAGCUUGUUUUACAAGUCUCUUGUGAAAUCUCAUGUCUCAAGCAUGAGGCGUGCAAGAGAUACUGUAUUGCUAGAGACCGGAAGGCGCAAAGAGUACGAUUAAGGUAGCGGUAAAAUGUGUUAAUCUCAAUCGGACUAACAAUGGCGAAGGCACUUUGCGAGUACGGAUCUGACAGUGAGGGAUGAAGGCUAGGGGCGCAAAAGGGAUUAGAUACCCGUGUAGUC
rnacentral:rRNA from 1 species